GGAUGUGAAGGCGAUCUGGCUGUGACAUCUGUCACCCUAUUGGUCGCCAGGGUUGAUUCAGCUGCACUGGCUGGCUAGUGUCCCCUUCCUCCCUCACUGCUCCUUGUGUGUCCCUCCAGAAGCUGCGUGCUCAGUCGAAGAGGACGACCUUCCCAGGUAGAGGAGGAUAGAGGAGGACCCUUCUUUGAUCAAGGGUAUAAGGGUAGCUGCGCUCCCCUGCUAGAACCUCCAAACAAGCUCUCAAGGUCCAGAGGAAAUUACCAGACUGGCGAAACCCUGAUCUCAUCAUUAGGAAUGUUCUUUGCCU
ensembl:misc_RNA 7SK 7SK RNA